AAAAAAAAUUGCAAAACAGGUUUUCACAGUUCUGUCGAUGUAAAUCGAUAGAGGAUUAGACAAACAAGUAAUUUGUAUUUGUAUCCCGCAUAAAUAUUUACCGUACAUGAUACGGUGUCGAACAUAAUGCGAAUACAGAUACUAAUGUUACCCAUUAGCGGUAUGUUCGCAAUACUUUCCAUUUGAAAUGGUAGAAUAAUAGCAUUGGCAUUAGUUCGUAAGGUUACCACAAUGGGUAUGGUCUUCCAACAUUGAAACCAUUCAAGCUCUGUGUAACUGUUUACGAACAUAUUGGUACCAUAUUGGUUGAGGUGCCUGACGGAAGGUAAAUAAAAAGCAAAGUGUUUGCUUUUCAAAAGAAUUUCUUCGCGAUUUUCCGCAAACAAUUCGUUUACAUUUGGACCCUAUACGGAUGGAAAAGUGGUGCAAGGCCUAACAGUAAUCAGACCGUAUCCUUCGGGGGAAAUUUUCAGCGGCAUCUGCCAAGUAGAUUGUGUUUCAAACUCAUGAGUUUCAUACAUGCCUGGAUUUAUUACUGCAGUAGUAUGACGGGAUUACAGAGUCUUAUCAGAACUACAGAUUAUGAGCGGAAAGUUGUUUGGAUGGAGUUGGUUAUGCUAUCUACAAAUUCAUAACGUUUUACUUUUAUUUUUAGCUUUUCAGUUAUGGAAGUUUUUAUAAGAAUAUUUAUUUAUGCCAAUAAAUAAUAUGUAAACUAAACAA